GAUCAUGGCUCAGGAUGAACGCUAGCUACAGGCUUAACACAUGCAAGUCGAGGGGCAGCAUGGUCUUAGCUUGCUAAGGCCGAUGGCGACCGGCGCACGUGUGAGUAACACGUAUCCAACCUGCCGUCUACUCUUGGACAGCCUUCUAGAAAGGAAGAUUAAUACAAGAUGGCAUCAUGAGUUCACAUGUUCACAUGAAUUAAAGGUAUUCCGGUAGACGAGUGGGG
rnacentral:rRNA from 1 species